rnacentral:rRNA from 1 species
AGAGUUUAACGGCCGCGGUAUUUUGACCGUGCAAAGGUAGCGCAAUCACUUGUCUUUUAAAUGGAGACCCGUAUGAAUGGCAUCACGAGGGCUUAACUGUCUCCUUUCUCAGGCCAAUGAAAUUGAUCUCUCCGUGCAGAAGCGGGGAUAACUACAUAAGACGAGAAGACCCUAUGGAGCUUUAGACACCCAGGCAGCUCAUGUCAAGCACCCUCGGACAGGAGACUGAACAAGAUGACCCCUGCCCUAAUGUCUUCGGUUGGGGCGACCCUGGGGAGAUAACCAACCCCCAUGUGGAAUGGAAGCAUGCUUCCAAAACCGAGAGCUACCGCUCUAAGAAACAGAAUUUCUGACCAUCUAGAUCCGGCAACGCCGAUCAACGGACCGAGUUACCCUAGGGAUAACAGCGCAAUCCCCUUUUAGAGGCCCUAUCGACAAGGGGGUUUACGACCUCGAUGUUGGAUCAGGAC